rnacentral:rRNA from 1 species
UAGGGAAUCUUCGGCAAUGGGGGCAANCCUGACCGAGCAACGCCGCGUGAGUGAAGAAGGUUUUCGGAUCGUAAAGCUCUGUUGUAAGAGAAGAACGAGUGUGAGAGUGGAAAGUUCACACUGUGACGGUAACUUACCAGAAAGGGACGGCUAACUACGUGCCAGCAGCCGCGGUAAUACGUAGGUCCCGAGCGUUAUCCGGAUUUAUUGGGCGUAAAGCGAGCGCGGGCGGUUAGAUAAGUCUGAAGUUAAAGGCUGUGGCUUAACCAUAGUACGCUUUGGAAACUGUUUAACUUGAGUGCAGAAGGGGAGAGUGGAAUUCCAUGUGUAGCGGUGAAAUGCGUAGAUAUAUGGAGGAACACCGGUGGCGAAAGCGGCUCUCUGGUCUGUAACUGACGCUGAGGCUCGAAAGCGUGGGGAGCAAACAGGAUUAGAUACCCUGGUAGUCCACGCCGUAAACGAUGAGUGCUAGGUGUUGGGUCCUUUCCGGGACUCAGUGCCGCAGCUAACGCAUUAAGCACUCCGCCUGGGGAGUACGACCGCAAGGUUG